rnacentral:rRNA from 1 species
UACAGAGGGUGCGAGCGUUGUCCGGAAUCACUGGGCGUAAAGGGCGCGUAGGUGGUGGCUUAAGCGUGCGGUGAAAGCUCGGGGCUCAACCCCGAGUCGGCCGUGCGAACUGGGCUCACUGGAGCAUAGUAGAGGCAGGUGGAAUUCCGGGUGUAGCGGUGGAAUGCGUAGAGAUCCGGAAGAACACCGGUGGCGAAGGCGGUCUGCUGGGCAGUUGCUGACACUGAGGCGCGACAGCGUGGGGAGCAAACAGG